rnacentral:rRNA from 1 species
GGUGAGUAAUGCCUAGGAAUCUGCCUGGUAGUGGGGGACAACGUUUCGAAAGGAACGCUAAUACCGCAUACGUCCUACGGGAGAAAGCAGGGGACCUUCGGGCCUUGCGCUAUCAGAUGAGCCUAGGUCGGAUUAGCUAGUUGGUGAGGUAAUGGCUCACCAAGGCGACGAUCCGUAACUGGUCUGAGAGGAUGAUCAGUCACACUGGAACUGAGACACGGUCCAG